UGGGGAAUAUUGCACAAUGGGGGAAACCCUGAUGCAGCCAUGCCGCGUGUGUGAAGAAGGCCUUCGGGUUGUAAAGCACUUUCAGCGAGGAGGAAAGGUUGAUGCCUAAUACGUAUCAACUGUGACGUUACUCGCAGAAGAAGCACCGGCUAACUCCGUGCCAGCAGCCGCGGUAAUACGGAGGGUGCAAGCGUUAAUCGGAAUUACUGGGCGUAAAGCGCACGCAGGCGGUCGGAUAAGUUAGAUGUGAAAGCCCCGGGCUCAACCUGGGAAUUGCAUUUAAAACUGUCCAGCUAGAGUCUUGUAGAGGGGGGUAGAAUUCCAGGUGUAGCGGUGAAAUGCGUAGAGAUCUGGAGGAAUACCGGUGGCGAAGGCGGCCCCCUGGACAAAGACUGACGCUCAGGUGCGAAAGCGUGGGGAGCAAACA
rnacentral:rRNA from 1 species